UUAUAAGAGACAGCAGCAGCCGCGGUAAUACAGAGGGUGCGAGCGUUAAUUGGAUUUACUGGGCGUAAAGCGUGCGUAGGCGGCUUUUUAAGUCGGAUGUGAAAUCCCUGAGCUUAACUUAGGAAUUGCAUUCGAUACUGGGAAGCUAGAGUAUGGGAGAGGAUGGUAGAAUUCCAGGUGUAGCGGUGAAAUGCGUAGAGAUCUGGAGGAAUACCGAUGGCGAAGGCAGCCAUCUGGCCUAAUACUGACGCUGAGGUACGAAAGCAUGGGGAGCAAACAGGAUUAGAUACCCCCGUAGUCCCUGUCUCUUAUAC
rnacentral:rRNA from 1 species